UAUCUAAAUAAAGUUUAUUUAAUUCUGCAAUUCAUACUAAAUUUCACUUUUGAGCAAAUCUGCUGUUUACAGAGAGAUUAUACCUAUUCUGUUUACUUAAAUAAGAACAAUAGGGACAUCAGAGAUACUAAUAUAUAUCUAAUACCUUAAUAUCUAAGGAGGAACUGGCUGAUCAUACAUUUUGCAGAUCACGGCACUUAAUUUAUUUUUGUCCAAAUAUAGUACCUUAAAUAUUUGCAUUUGUUUUAGUUACUUCCUUUUAUUCUUGACAUAGCUUUUAUGACACAGGAUCAGUUUUCUAAUUUUACAUACCUGAAGUAAAUGAGAGUUAAUAUUUGGGCAUGUUUUAUCUUCCCUGAUUUCAAGCAAGGAAAGACUAAUUUAAGUUCAUAGACAUAUAUACUUGUAAGUUAUACUGUUCUGUACUUGGCAAGGGCCUUAAUGUGCUAGCAAAAGAAAAAAUUCCAAGUAAUGGGUCUCCCUGAAGAAGGGAAAGGGAAGAGAAAAAGAAAAGGAAAGGAAAAGCUGCUUUUUAGAAAAAAGGUUUUUCAUAGCUAGCAAACUUGAGAGUGGGGGGAGGAAAAAGAAUUGUUGACAAUGACAUUCAUAGUGCUGCUGUUAUUUUACUGAAAAUUGUCAUGGUUAGUAAAUCACAAUGAGUCCCUGUAUUGGGGUGGUAGACAUGGUGAGGCUGGGUUCACAGUUGGACUCUAUGAACCUUAGUGUUUCUUUGUUUUCCUUCAAUCCCUCUACUUACACAAACAAACCAUGUUAUUGAGUAUCAGAGUCUGAUAGAGUGUUUACACAAAGGCAACAGUGUGAGACCUCUUGUGCCAUCCUCUUGUCCUCAUUUGGCUUAUGAUUAUUUUAGGUGUCCUCAUACCUGGGGUUAAAGGCCCAUCAAGUUUCUCUUGUGUUUUCUGUGUGGUUGCACAUUAGCUACAAAUUGCCUUGUCAUUUGCAAUGUGUCUGUCUGACAAAUAUUCCAGCUCCAUAGGAGUUGGAAUAAAGCAGAAGAGGUAUCUCAUUCACUUCUCUCUAUCAUUGUGCUUUAAAGACAAUUUCUAGGAAGAGAAACCCGGGAAAACAGAUUCUUUAUAAUCUCCUCUGCCUCUGAACAGACAGCUGUGGAGCCUGAUGUUCCAUGUCCCAAAAAACUCAAGAGUCCUCUGCAGCUGUAAAACAAGCAGGCUAAAUGAGAUCAUAUGACGUUGUUUUGCAUCCUGGCAGAGAGAUGGCUAUCAUCCUGAUUUUCCUUGAAGAGAAAUUUAGUAGGUGAACUGGGGAUAGAAUACCCAUAAAUGUGUACGAAUGAAAUAGCAGAAUAAAGCAUGUUUACUCUAAUUGGCUUACACAGAAGUAACAAUGAUCUGAUACUGCAAAACUGAAAGAAAAGCUCUUCUGAAUGUCCCAUAGCAUACUCUGCUCAUUUUCAAUUGUGUUCUGCAGAGCAGGGUAACAACUGGCAUCAGAGGAUGGAGAAUCUAACACAGCAAGUCUGCAGAUGGCUGGGUCAGAGAAAAGGACAGUUCAUCUGGUUUUUUGGAUAUUUCAAAUUUACAUGCAGAAUAUCUAAUAAUGACUACUUCAUUCCAAGUGCUAUUUGUCUUUGACAGUAAAACUCAUAUGAAGCAUAACUAGAAGAGACAGAAGGGAAAAAGGAGGGAGAACAGAGAGGAUUGUGUGAACAGCAAAUACGGAUGUGCUUUACUGGAGAGAAAAACCUGGAGAGGGUGGGAGAAGACUAAAUUGGCAAAAUGUUUCUCAAAGGCCUGAGGCUGACUUACAGGGAAGAAAACAACCAAACAUAAAGCAUAUUGUGCCCUUCACCACCCCUGAGCAAUGAAGCGCAGCAUCGGAAGCUUUUGUGAGGCAGGUGGCAUGCCAAAGUCCACGCAGCAGCUGUGCCGACCCUGGGCAUUUUGAAUGCCUAAAGAAAACACACAUGCUGUUCUUCAGGUCUAAGCAGUUUGUGGUUUGCCUGGGGCCUUCAGCAGCAAGGAGAGGAGAGGAGCAGCAUGGCAGCUCUGCUGCUGGCCAGCAGUGUGGAGGACUCGCUGCUCAGAUGUCUGAAGCAGAAGGUUCAGCUGUUUUGGUGCCCGUGCUGCCAGUCAUGCUCCGCUGGUCACUGCCACCAGAGAGCCCUACAGACCGAGCCCCGCUGCAGCCCUGUGCUGGGUGACCCGGCGGCAUCUGCCAGCCACAUUUCCUGCAGCAGCUUAGCAGAUAUUGACACACCAACAACAGUUCAGUGACCGUGACGGGUUCCUCCCACACUGCAGCACCUAUGAUUUGUAUUAAAAUGGCAUACCAAGUGCUGCAAGUUCUAAAUAAGGGAGGUUCCCUCUCCUAGGCGGUGUACCAUCCAAGGCUAGAGGGAUUGCUGCACUCCUGCUACCCAUGGUCCAUGGCAGACUGGGAUAGAAUUCAGAGCUUCUAAAUCCUAGAUUAGCGAACUAACAAGAUUAUCCUUUCACUCUGAAAACAAGAUUGAGAGAGAGAUUUUGGUAACACCCAAAACUAUUUACAUUAAAUUUCCUGGAACUGUAAAACAUUUUAAUUUUAUGCUUAAGGAAAAAACCAACCUACCUCUGUUAGCAGAGUGUAAAAGUCCCAUCUUGAUCACACAGAUACAGGCACGUGUCAGUUACAAAGCUGUUUGAAAGUUAUACUACUGACAUGUCUUUGAUUUUUAAUAGGUCCUGUGACCUACUAUGAAUGCCUUCAUAAUGAAAAUAACUUGUUCCAUGAAAGAGCAGAUGUUCUAGUACUUAAAUACUUGCUGCUGCCAUGCCAAAGUCUUCUGCUUAAUGGCAUUAGAAGCAGCAGUUUGUCCUGAUCAAUAGUUCUGCUAACAUUCUAGAUGCCACAGAGAGCCAGAACAGGUGGAUCUCCCAUAAGAAAGAGUUUUUAUGGGCCGGGUUUUGUACAAAGUGCUGGGUGUAUACAGUUCUGCCGAGCAACUUCCGGCAUUGGGUACUUAGGCUUCCCUCCACCUUUCUACUACAAAUUCUUUUAUGACAUUUAUGAUAUGUUUAUUUGAAGAAUUGUGUUACGCCCAAGCAAUAUAGCUGUAGCCUGACCAAAGCAAUGAAUUGUCUAAGGGAAAGAAAAAGUCACAGGCAAAUCUUAAAUUUAAAGUAUACCUUUGGCACAGAAAUCUCUAAAUCCAAAGGUGCCUUCAGCUGAUCUCUCACACUUUCCCUAGUUUCUCUUGCAGCAGAGGUGGACCUCUUCUAUUCCAUUCUCUUCACAUAUUUUCCAAUAGACCAAUUCCCCUCUUUACAAUAUUGCUACCUGCAGCCUCUCUGUGUUUUGAGGUCUGCUGAGGAUGAAGAAACAGAGUGCCCCUCUGUGACCAUUUUCUUGCAGAUGUAAGAACAUUGAAGCAGAUAAAUCCUGUGCAUGUCUGUGAGUGGUAUGAGGGUGCCCACAGGCCAGGCUGAAUGGGGCCUUUGAGCAACCUGAUCCAGUGGGUGGCAUCUCUACCCACAGCAGGGGAGUUGGAUGUAGAUAAUCUUUAAGAUCCCUCCCUACACAAGCCAUUUGAUCAUACUAUAUUAGGGCCUGGCCUCCAUGGGCCUCCUUCCCACACACUUUGGUCGAACCAUGGCAGCACUUCAGUGCAAUGACAGAGGUGUCCAGACUGCUCCUCUCCUCAUGGCAGAACGUUGUGGAUAGUCACUGUUAGCAUCACACAGCAUCGUGCCCUCCUGGUUGCCUGCUGUGCGUGUGGGGGAUGUAUAUACCCAUCAAGAGACUACUUAUGUACCCUAUAUGGGGACAAAAGCUAUGUCCAGCCAUGUCACAUGGGUGGAUGUGCACUCAACAUUUGAUGGGAGUUGCGAAGUUUCACCAUGUCAGCUUUAUACUUAGUACAUACCAUGGAAGGAGCUUUAUCCAUGUCUCCCUUCACUGUUCCCCUUAAAAGGCUCCCUUGUCCCGAGCUGGUGUCAGAGUGCUUUAUUUCAACUCCAAACACCAAUUUUUGAGUACAAUGAGGGCUGUGCCCAGGAGCUGGUGGGACUGCCUAGCAUGGCCUUGAGGAGAGAGAGGAGAAAAGAUGUGUUUGCUUGUAUGUUAGGAAUAUGACCGGUGGAGAAACUGCCAUUAACAUGCUUGCAGAACUGGAUCUGUUCUCCCAUCUGUAUUUAUCACAAUGAGAAAGACUACCUGUACUAUCCAGUAUAACAACAACAACAACAAAAGCAGCAAAAAUAACAAUAAUACAUCUUAGCCCAAUUCCAUGAGACUUUAUCGCUUUGUCAUUUAGUUUAUUAGUAUUAUUAAUACUAAUAAAUUUCCAGCAAAUUUCCAGCAAAACUAAGGCAGGCCAUCAUAAUGGGGGAAAGAAGAGCUGUACCAAUGGCAAAUGGCCAACUCCCGUAUUACCAUAUUCCCAAGGCAAGGAAUUUCCACUUUUCCACUGAAAUCCAUUUUUAGUUGUUUAAAUACGCAUUUUUAUUGCAUUAUUCCAUUUUUUUUCCUGAGGUGUAUGAUUUGUACAAAAUCCACCAUAAAUCGGAAAUAUGCAGUAUCUAGACUGUGUUAGGAAUGUCCAUGCUCCAGGAACGGAUUUUAUAGAUUUAGAAAUGAGCAAGUUAGAAAUUGCAUGGUGUGGCUGCAGCAGAGCAGGUGUGGGACAUCAGCCUUCCCUCGAGCUGUUUCACGCCUCUGCCACUGCCUGUUGGCCAACAAGGAGAGUAAAUGUCACUUGGGUGCUGUGCUGCAGCCCACGCCUUCGCCAGGGCCAAAGUGCAAGCCGUACAGCCUGGCUCAGGAGCAGGCAGCAUAUUCCUGUUGCUUUCCCUACCCUGCAAGGCUGGAGGCCUGACUGCGGCAGCACCGGUCAGCCCUGCUGGGACCCUGCUGCCACUGCUGCAGCACAGGAGCCCUGUUUGCACAGGGUACCCACAGCUGUCUUCCUCCAGAUCCUCUUGCCAUCACAGUGCUCUGGGUCUGAGGUGUGUCUGCGCUUUAGGAUUGGAAAAGCUUCUCUUUUUUUCCCUACAGGGUGUUUUUGUUUUGAAAACUAAAUCUGCAGAGAAAAGAGAGCACAGAUUCUGCUACCGGAGCCAAGGCUUCAUGCCAAAUUUUAUGAUAUAGCAUAUACACCUUCAAAGUCUCACUUUAUUUAGCUCAUUAAAGAAUUAUUUGCAUGGGGAGGCUUUGAUUCUGCAUGAGUGGAUAAACUGUUGUCAUGAAAUUUCUUUCUUUCUUUAACAAACUACUGUUCUAUAUGGAGUCGACACUGAAUCUUUAAUUACCCUACAUACUCUUGUGACAAUUCUGUAUUGUGUUUUGGCCUAAACAUGCCUUAAUGUCACCUUCUUCUUUUACUAUCAUUUCACUUGUUAAAUUCUUUUGCCUGGAAAAUGCCACAUGAACACUGGGGAGAAACACCUCAGUUAUUUAAAAAAUAAAAGUAAUUUGAAGUGGAA